rnacentral:rRNA from 1 species
CGCGGUAAUACGGAGGGUGCGAGCGUUAAUCGGAAUUACUGGGCGUAAAGCGCAUGCAGGUGGUUUGUUAAGUCAGAUGUGAAAGCCCGGGGCUCAACCUCGGAAUUGCAUUUGAAACUGGCAGACUAGAGUACUGUAGAGGGGGGUAGAAUUUCAGGUGUAGCGGUGAAAUGCGUAGAGAUCUGAAGGAAUACCGGUGGCGAAGGCGGCCCCCUGGACAGAUACUGACACUCAGAUGCGAAAGCGUGGGGAGCAAACAGGAUUAGAUACCCUGGUAGUCCACGCCGUAAACGAUGUCUACUUGGAGGUUGUGGCCUUGAGCCGUGGCUUUCGGAGCUAACGCGUUAAGUAGACCGCCUGGGGAGUACGGUCGCAAGAUUAAAACUCAAAUGAAUUGACGGGGGCCCGCACAAGCGGUGGAGCAUGUGGUUU